GGAGCUGUGUAGGGUGAAAAAGCUUUGCUUUUUUUAUGUCGUUGGCCGCGAAAAGUUCGACGAGGCGAAUAUAAAGCUGCUGUCUUGAUCUGUCACUUCGAAGGAGACGACGGUGAUUGGCGUUUGACGCUCACUUAGAGGUCUUCCACAUUGUCUACUCACUCGGUUUCUUUACCAGGUGGCAAAGCAGAAGAGCCAUGAUAAGGGAUUACUGCAAACCAGAGAGGCAGAGGGAGAGAUUGGAUAAGACGCUUCGCUUGUUGAUAUUGUUACUUUCCUUGAGCCUUGUAAGAUGAAUGGAUGUUCGUAUCAAGUACACUGCUUGCGUUAUCAAGACAAGAGUACGGGCGAUUUUGUGCAAAUCUAAAUCAUUUGACCUGAAAGGCAAGCUCAUUCUUGGAGACUAUGGCAGCAUUUGCGUUGUAUUGAUGUUCUCUGGUUGGAAUUGUUCAAGAAGAGUUUACUUUUGUGCAAAUAUCAAUCACCCAACCUGAAAGUAAAGUACACUGCUUGCGUUAUCUAGUUGGAAAAUUAUCAAGGCCGAUUUUGUGCAGAUCUGAAUCAUUUGACCUGAAAGCCAAGCUUAUUCUUGAAUGCCUUUCAACAUGGUUUGUGGCUAAGUCUAAUAUCGGAAAUCAACAAAUCUAAGCUAUCUAUAAUUCAUCUGGUGCAAGAGCAAAGCAUUUGAUGUUCAUCUGAUUGGAAUGUUUCAAGAAGAGUGUACUUUUGUGGAUAUCUAAUUAAUCUGACCUGAAAAUAAAGCUUGUUGGCGGAGAAUUAGGCAUCGUAGCCCUUUUCUGAUAUUAUCUGGUUAGACAUCUCAAUCAUAUGACCUGAAAGCAAAGCUCAUUCUUGGAGAAACUACCUGCAUUUGAUAUUUAUUUGGUUGGAAUGGGUCAAGAAUAGUUUAAAUAUCUGCAAAUCUAUAUCAUCUGACCUGAAAGGUAUGUGAAGACAGAAACCGAUAUUUUAGUAUAUGACAGUGCUGAAAAUACAAAGACCCUAAGGAUUUUGAUAAUGGAGAGCUCCUGCAACUCUGUAUAAAGUAGAGAGACAAAAAGCUUUGCCUGACUAUAAACGAAAGUAGAGGUGAAGUUUUGAGCCUCCAAACGCUUGUUAUGGUGCAGUGAUGUUUCGUACUUUACUGAUGAAGAAGUUCAAAAGAUGAUCAAUAGUUUCGUUGAUAUGAUCUAUAAACGAUAAUCUCUUAGGUGAACCAACUUCUCCGCUGUUGAUGAAACCCGUACUCUGCUUGCAUAAGGAGAUUGAAAUAUUAUCAAGAUGGAGCAUGAAAAUCUAAAUUUCUGAAUCCUGAAAGACAAGGCGUAUGUGAGUAGCUACUUUUGUAAAUCUGGCACCAGAAAACAUAGAAAUUGCAUGCCCCGUGAAUCGAACUCAGGAUCUCUCGCACCCAAAGCGAGAAUCAUACCACUAGACCAAAUGCCCUGUUUUCGAACAUUGAAGAGAGAAUGAUUUUGUCUUUGGAUCCAUUUUUUUUAAUACCAAUUCCUGCUCUCUGGUUUUAUUGUGCUUGAAAGAUCACCAUUGCAAUUGAUGAAACUAGAAUCAGAUCAGGAUUGAUUUGGUUAGAGGGAGAUGUGAAUUUAGCUUUAGGGAACCUAAGGUAGUGGAUCUGAUGGUAAGGAUGCAAUUUGCAUCUUGUUUAAUCAGUUACUAUUCAUGUCAUAUCUCAUAUCUUAUGUUUUGUUU